rnacentral:rRNA from 1 species
AUAGGGACCUGUAUGAAUGGCAUAACGAGGGCUUAACUGUCUCCUUUUUCAAGUCAAUGAAAUUGAUCUCCCCGUGCAGAAGCGGGGAUGAAACCAUAAGACGAGAAGACCCUGUGGAGCUUUAGACGUCAGGGCAGAUCAUGUUAAGAACCCCUAAACACAGGUCCAAACUAAAUGAAACCUGCCCCCAUGUC